GAAGAUAUGGUGAUAAAGAAUGUCUGUAAUAUUCGGUAUAAUAAAUUUUCAUGAAUGUGUUGGGUAAUAAAGAGUGGUGACAAAAUCAAAAUAUGCAGGAAGCCAGGGAAGCACGGGAAGAGGGCAGCCAUGGAAGCACAUAAAUGCAGUUUUGAACCAAGCAUUUAAUGACUCUUUCAUCCUCUGCUAGUACACUUUCUCACUCGGACAAGGACCAUCUACAGAAAGAAACCUGAAGAGACAAAACUAAGAUUCAUUCACUUUGAAUCUAUCUUUAACGGCUAUAGAAAUUUCUAUUAAAAGUUAGCCAAAACAUCUCGUGAAACUAAGGGGAAACACUUUCAGCUCCUCAAGAAACUCAAAAAAAAAAAAAAAAAAGAGGAAGAGGGUAGGGGUGAAAACCCGAAAGGGCGCUCCUAGCAAAAUGUGUGAAAGAAGGCGAAAACCCCGAAGGGGCGCUUUCUGUAAAAUGAGUGAAGGAUGAAAACCCGAAAGGGCAUCCUGAAAAAGUGAGC
rnacentral:misc_RNA from 1 species